GCGGCUGUGGGAGUGGCUGUCAGCAGAUGGAAGAGAUGCUGCUGCUUCUGCCUUGUGAUGCUAGAGGAACCAGGGAGAUCAGGGAGGUUACUCCCUCACACCAAAACCUGGAACACAAGAUGAGAAACUCUUAUCAAGACCUAAUGUACACCUGUAAGAUGAGAUAUGAAAAUGAAGCACCUCCUAAACUACCAAGAGCAGGUGGAUUAACUUGGAUGUGAUUGCAGAAUCCACAUGACAGAUUCUAUGCCUAACCAUGAUAUAGGCUCAGAGUCAUUUUCAUUUUUUUCCAAUGGAUGUUUGCAGGGCCCUCCUUCAGAGAGGGGUGAUCAGAGGAGACAGGAAGAAUAAGCUACGGAGAAGUGCUGACCUUGUUUAUUGAGGAAUUUCUGAGUGUACCGGAGGAAUCACAACCCAGGGAGAAGUCAGACAGACAUCUCAGAAAAAGAAUGCUAACCAAAACAAGAAGGUUUUUACUGAUCCUCUUCAAUUCUCACUUGGAUGUAUAACUGUAUCACUUACAAGUUCAUCUUUUUUUACAUAAUAGAUGAGUUCCAAAGAACUACUAUGUAGAAAUAUUUUUCUAAGUAUUUUAUAACAUUUUAAUGUGCAAUGAAAAGUGCUUAUUUUAAAAAGGAUUACUUGGUGCUGUUCUCAUGAUAGUUCUUCCCACAACACAUGGGGAUUACAGGAGCUAU
rnacentral:lncRNA from 1 species